rnacentral:misc_RNA from 1 species
UAGAAGAUCUGUGCAGUAUCUAUCUUUGACUUCAAUUGUCAUUUGACAUACAAAAUGUGAUUGACAUUCUUUCAAGGGGAAAUACCAAUGUAGUACUUAAGAAUAUGGACCGGUCUCAACGUUUUAAACACAAGGAUAACCCAGCAAACAACAGAACUUCAAAUGUACCUAUUCAGUAUCCUAAUGAUUUUACUUAAAUUUUCCUACAGUGUCAACAAAUCCCUUAAAUAUUAAAACUCACAACAAAUCAUAGGAUUAAGGAAUAAUUUAUGGGGAAAACAAAAACCAUUCUGGAUCAACAAGAGCUGGUGGGAUCAAUUCUCAAAAGGGCAAUGAAAAAUGCAACACAGCUACUGUAAGUCCAUCAAACACUCGCAUUGGCUCCAUUAGGACAAGUCCAGGUCUAUCUGCUGCCUAAUCCUACUCAUCAUUCUGGCUCUCAUCUUUGACAAGCCUUAUCAUGUCAUCGAUUCUCAGAAUGGUAAUAGCUGCUUCUGUAGCAAACUGUAUAAUUUUUACUUUGCUCAUUGCAGGCUCAAUCACCCCAGCCUCCAAGUUAUUUCGCACAGUGCCCUUUGAUAGGUCCAGUCCCAUGCUUGACAAAUGCUUCUUAUCAGCUUUGGUUUGUGCAAGGUAGUGGCACGAACGUAGUUUAGAUACCAAGUCACUGGAAUCUUUUGCAGCGUUAUUUGCAAGAACCUUUGGUAUGACAAGUAAGGAUUCAGCAAAUUGUGCAAUAGCCAGCUGCUCCCUUGACCCAAGAGUAGUAGCUAGGUACUCCAAGUAGACACAUAAAGCAGCCUCAACAGCUCCACCACCAGCAACGACAGUUGUUGACUCUAGUGUUCUCUUCACAAUGCAUAAAGCAUCAUGGAGGGCCCUCUCCAUCUCGUCAAGCAUAAAGUCAUUUGCACCUCUAAGUAUUAAUGAAACCGAACUUGAGGUUUUGGUUCCUUUAACCAUAAUCACAUCAUCAUCAGCAAUUCGCUCCUCCACCACCUCAUCAGCAUGUCCAAGAAAUGAUGGUUCAAAAGUUUCUUCUCCUUCCAUAUCAGCAAAUGUUGAGACCACAGUUGCACCGGUUGCCUUAGCAACAUGGCGCAAAUCUUCUUUGCGAACACGUCUGACCGCAAUGGCACCAGCUUCCACAAAGUACUUCAGUGCCAUGUCAUCAAUUCCUUUUGAAGUCAAAACAACAUUUGCUCCCGCACUCAAAAGUUUUUGAAUCCGUUCUUUUGUCAUAUCAGCUUCUCUUUGGCGAAUCCUCUCAAGCUCUCGAGGAUCAGUUACCAACACUUGAACACCCAUCUGCAUUUUUGUCUUUUGAAGAUUGAAGUCAAGACAAGCAAUCCGUGCAGGCGCAACUCUCAGAGGCAUCCCUUGGGCAGCACGGCCAGUAUUCAGUGCAUAACCCUUCAAUAGAUAGCUAUCUUUUGC